AAACUUUCAACAACGGAUCUCUUGGCUCUGGCAUCGAUGAAGAACGCAGCGAAAUGCGAUAAGUAAUGUGAAUUGCAGAAUCUUGUGAAUCAUCGAAUCUUUGAACGCACAUUGCGCCCCUUGGUAUUCCGAGGGGCAUGCCUGUUCGAGCGUC
rnacentral:rRNA from 1 species